CAUUCGAGUGGCGGACGGGUGAGUAACGCGUGGGUAACCUGCCUUACACAGGGGGAUAACACCUGGAAACAGGUGCUAAUACCGCAUAAGCGCACAGGGCCGCAUGGCCCGGUGUGAAAAACUCCGGUGGUGUAAGAUGGACCCGCGUCUGAUUAGCUUGUUGGCGGGGUAGGGGCCCGACCAAGGCGACGAUCAGUAGCCGGCCUGAGAGGGUGGACGGCCACAUUGGGACUGAGACACGGCCCAAACUCCUACGGAAGGCAGCAG
rnacentral:rRNA from 1 species